rnacentral:rRNA from 1 species
GAUGGGCGCAGCCUGAUCAGCCAUGCCGCGUGAGUGAUGAAGGCCCUAGGGUUGUAAAGCUCUUUCAGCGAGGAGGAUAAUGACGUUACUCGCAGAAGAAGCCCCGGCUAACUUCGUGCCAGCAGCCGCGGUAAUACGAAGGGGGCUAGCGUUGUUCGGAAUCACUGGGCGUAAAGCGCACGUAGGCGGACUGAUCAGUCAGGGGUGAAAUCCCGGGGCUCAACCCCGGAACUGCCUUUGAUACUGUCAGUCUUGAGUCCGAGAGAGGUGAGUGGAACUCCGAGUGUAGAGGUGAAAUUCGUAGAUAUUCGGAAGAACACCAGUGGCGAAGGCGGCUCACUGGCUCGGUACUGACGCUGAGGUGCGAAAGCGUGGGGAGCAAACAGGAUUAGAUACCCCCGGUAGUCAA